ensembl:lincRNA 4930477E14Rik RIKEN cDNA 4930477E14 gene
GAGAUCCCGCUGUCACUUGGGGAUCGGUGGCCACCAGGGGCACCACUCUGGCGAGGGCGCGGCCUGGACGCCCAGAAGGACUACGAUAAGGAACCUAUUACGCUUUAGGGUACGGUCCUUCGCAGACCCUAAGCAGGUCUGGCUCUGAAGAGGAUUCGAGGAGUCUGCAGCUUACUCAGCAGUUUUUUUCUCUAAGGGAGCAAAACUUAAUUCUCUGGGGCUGGCGAAAAAAGAAGAAAUCACACACAGAGUUGUUUGAUGAAGAAAGAAUCCAACAACGUUAUAUUUUUUUUUAAGACUCUUUAUACCACCUAAGGAAAAAAAUUCUCUACGAAAGAGAGCCACAAGUUAUAUAUUCCCCAAAACCAACUACCACAUGUUCUUCAAAAGAUUAAAAUUAUUACACAAAAGAAAAUUACAACAUGACUAUUGAUUAAAUGUUAUUUUUUUGAAACCCACACUUAACAUCCCAUCUUUCUUUCCACAAAUCAUCCUAACCCAAACCAAUAAUUCUUUUGUCAUUGAUCAACAAAGUUCAAGCAAGCCAAGUCCAUAGUAGCUAGGUUUUCCAUGUGCUAGCUAGUUUGUAUUUACCAAGAAAUAAAUCAUUUAUUAUAUGUC